rnacentral:rRNA from 1 species
UACGAACCGUGUGAACGUUAUUCGGAAUUACUGGGCUUAAAGCGCGUGUAGGCGGAUGGUGACGUCGGUCGCUGAAAGCCCCCGGCUCAACCGGGGAACGGGCGCCGAAACGCCCCGUCUGGAGGGACGUAGGGGGACCUGGAACUUCCGGUGGAGCGGUGAAAUGCGUUGAGAUCGGAAGGAACGCCCGUGGCGAAAGCGAGGUCCUGGACGUCUACUGACGCUGAGACGCGAAAGCUAGGGGAGCGAACGGG